rnacentral:rRNA from 1 species
UGGGGAAUAUUGGACAAUGGGCGCAAGCCUGAUCCAGCCAUGCCGCGUGAGUGAUGAAGGCCCUAGGGUUGUAAAGCUCUUUCACCGGUGAAGAUAAUGACGGUAACCGGAGAAGAAGCCCCGGCUAACUUCGUGCCAGCAGCCGCGGUAAUACGAAGGGGGCUAGCGUUGUUCGGAUUUACUGGGCGUAAAGCGCACGUAGGCGGACUAUUAAGUCAGGGGUGAAAUCCCGGGGCUCAACCCCGGAACUGCCUUUGAUACCGGUAGUCUUGAGUUCGAGAGAGGUGAGUGGAAUUCCGAGUGUAGAGGUGAAAUUCGUAGAUAUUCGGAGGAACACCAGUGGCGAAGGCGGCUCACUGGCUCGAUACUGACGCUGAGGUGCGAAAGCGUGGGGAGCAAACAGG